rnacentral:antisense_RNA from 1 species
GUGGGAGCGAGCUUGCUCGCGAAGGCGUCGAGCCAGUCGAUUCAUAUGUGUCUGAUACACCGCAUUCGCGAGCAAGCUCGCUCCCAC